ensembl:lncRNA
AACCUGGUGUGUCAUGCGUUGCCUGAAAGCCAGAUGUGCAGAGUAACCAGGGAGGGCUUCCCAAAGUACAGCUUUACACACAUGGGUGUGUAUGCCCUGGGUGUGUGGGGAGUAACUUGUACCUGUGUUUUGUGCACCUGAAGAUCUGGAUGUGGCCAGAGCACAGCACGGGUGUUGGGAUUAUCCCUGUGUCCACGAAGCCCAGAUAACAACACGAGCAAGCUGCCUUCAGGAAACGGCUGGUGGAAGAUGAUGGAGUGGGGAGCCUGACUGCACAGGAAUCUCAGUCAAGUGCCAAACAAAAGCCGUGGUCUGUUGCCAAGUGGACAGAUGUUUGUGGCUGUUAGAGACUUGCCAUUAAAAGCUUGAUGUGCAGAUACAAGCACAAGUAGGACGAUUGAUCCUAUGCAGCAGCAUAAGUUGUGAAUAGGAAGGUGUAUUUGAUGGCAAGAUGCCUUCAGCAGGAUGGUGGAAGGCCACAGAAUCACAGAAUGACCCGGGUUGGAAGGGACCUCAAGGAUCAUGAAUCUCCAACCCCCCUGCCACAAGGAGGGCCACCAACCUCCACAUUUAAUAGUAGACCACGCUGCCCAGGGCCCCAUCCAACCUGGCCUUGAACACCUUCAGGGACGGGGCAUCCACAACCUCUCUGGGCAGCCUCUGCCAGCACCUCACUACUCUCCUGCAGGAAGAGUUUUAUGACUUGACAAAACAGAAUAGAAUUCAGAAGAAGUCAGAGGAAAUGAGAAGAAUCAGGCUGCAGAAGCAAUAUGUGAUGCCACAGCCCCUCCCUGAAUCAAGGACUCAGCAUGGGACAGACGCAGCCAGGGAUGUCUGCAA